rnacentral:rRNA from 1 species
AUUGAACGCUGGCGGCAGGCCUAACACAUGCAAGUCGAGCGGAGCGGCGGACGGGUGAGUAAUGCCUAGGAAUCUGCCUGGUAGUGGGGGAUAACGUCCGGAAACGGGCGCUAAUACAGCAUACUAUCAGAUGUGCCCAGAUGGGAUUAGCUAGUAGGUGGGGUAAAGGCUCAACUAGGCGACGAUCCCUAGCUGGUCUGAGAGGAUGACCAGCCAAACUGGAACUGGUACACGGUCCAGACGCCUACGGGAGGCAGCAGUGGGGAAUAUUGCACAAUGGGCGCAAGACUGAUGCAGCCAUGCCGCGUGUAUGAAGAAGGCCUUCGGGUUGGAAAGGACUUUCAGCGGGGAGGCGUUACCCGCAGAAGAAGCACCGGCUAACUCCGUGCCAGCAGCCGCGGUAAUUC